AUUGAACGCUGGCGGUAUGCUUAACACAUGCAAGUCGAACGGUAACAGGCCUUCGGGCGCUGACGAGUGGCGGACGGGUGCGUAACGCGUAGGAAUCUGCCGAUUAGUGGGGGACAACUUGGGGAAACUCAAGCUAAUACCGCAUACGCCCUACGGUGGAAAGCGGGGGACCUUCGGGCCUCGCGCUAAUCGAUGAGCCUGCGUGGGAUUAGCUAGUUGGUAGGGUAAAGGCCUACCAAGGCGACGAUCCCUAGCUGGUCUGAGAGGACGAUCAGCCACACUGGGACUGAGACACGGCCCAGACUCCUACGGGAGGCAGCAGUGGGGAAUAUUGGACAAUGGGCGCAAGCCUGAUCCAGCAAUACCGCGUGUGUGAAGAAGGCCUGAGGGUUGUAAAGCACUUUUAAUCGGGAGGAAUAGCGGUCGGUCAAUACCCGAUCGUCUGACAUUACCGAUAGAAAAAGCACCGGCUAACUCCGUGCCAGCCGCCGCUGUAAAAC
rnacentral:rRNA from 1 species